UACGCAGGGUGCAAACGUUGCUCGGAAUUAUUGGGCGUAAAGCGCACGUAGGCGGCUUUGCAAGUCCCAUGUGAAAUCCCACGGCUCAACCGUGGAAGUGCAUGGGAAACUGCAGAGCUUGAGUACUUAAGAGGAUCGCGGAAUUCCCGGUGUAGAGGUGAAAUUCGUAGAUAUCGGGAGGAACACCAGUGGCGAAGGCGGCGAUCUGGGAAGAUACUGACGCUGAGGUGCGAAAGCGUGGGGAGCAAACAGG
rnacentral:rRNA from 1 species